rnacentral:rRNA from 1 species
GUGCCAGCAGCAGCGGUAAUACGUAGGGGGGCAAGCGUUGUCCGGAAUUACUGGGCGUAAAGGGUGCGCAGGCGGUUUUCUAAGUCAGAUGUGAAAUACCCGGGCUUAACCUGGGGGGUGCAUUUGAAACUGGAAGACUUGAGUGCAGGAGAGGUAAGUGGAAUUCCUAGUGUAGCGGUGAAAUGCGUAGAUAUUAGGAGGAACACCAGUGGCGAAGGCGACUUACUGGACUGUAACUGACGCUGAGGCACGAAAGCGUGGGGAGCAAACAGGAUUAGAUACCCUGGUAGUCCACGCUGUAAACGAUGGAUACUAGGUGUAGGGAGCGAUAGCUCUCUGUGCCGCAGCUAACGCAAUAAGUAUCCCGCCUGGGGAGUACGAUCGCAAGGUUGAAACUUAAAGGAAUUGGCGG